rnacentral:rRNA from 1 species
GACGAACGCUGGCGGCGUGCCUAACACAUGCAAGUCGAACGGAGAUUUCAGCAAUGGAAUCUUAGUGGCGAACGGGUGAGUAACGCGUAGACAACCUACCUUCUAGAUGGGGACAACCCUGCGAAAGUGGUGCUAAUACCGAAUGUUGUCUUUUGAACGCCUGUUUAAGAUACUAACGGUGGCCUCUAUUUAUAAGCUACCACUAGAUGAUGGCUCUGGGUCUGAUUAGCUAGUUGGUGAGGUAAUGGCUCACCAAGGCAACGAUCAGUAGCCGGUCGGAGACGAUGAACGGCCACACUGGGACUGAGACACGGCCCAGACUCCUACGGGAGGCAGCAGUGGGGAAUCUUCCGCAAUGGACGAAAGUCGGACGGAGCAACGCCGCGUGAGUGAAGAAGGUUUUCGGAUCGUAAAACUCUGUUUUCAGGGACGAAUGUGCAAUAUGUAAAUAAUGUAUUGUAAUGACGGUACCUGACAAGAAAGCCACGGCUAACUACGUGCCAGCAGCCGCGGUAACAC